GCUUUGAAGUUAAUCCAAAAUAAAAUUAUUUCUCAAUUAUUUCAGGAACUCUUAGCAAGUGCAGAUUUUUUUUUUUCCCCCAACAUAUUCAGAUGCUUUACAGAGUUCUGCAGGUGUUACUAGCUCUACCUUAGAAGUAGAUAACAGACAGAGAAAUUGCCUGACUUUUCUAAGGUUACAUCUGAACCACAUAGAGCUGAAAUCCACAUCUGAUACCCACACACUCUCACGUAACAGCUGGACCACCCGGUUUCUCUUUCAGGCUUAAUCCUGCCAGCUUCUUGUGCACAUAUCUCUGGUUUGCCCCUUCUCUGGAGCAGAAGUGAGUCACAUAAUGCACUCUGCCUUUUCUAACAGAAAAAAAUAAGUUGGAGUCAGUAACAAUGUCCAACAUAGAUUUAGGACAGAAAUGGAUGGUUACUGUUCUGCUGUCUGGAAGCUGAGGAUUACAACCAUCAGCAGCAGACUUCCUCUGAAAUCUAAGGACUAAACCACAGAUAGGCUGAAAAUAUUUUGCUGCAAGUUAACAACCCUUCAUGAAAUUCCCAAGAAUGGAAAAAAUACUGUGUUUGAAAGAAUGAAACGAACAUUGCACUUAAUUCUAUAAACAACUCAUCGGAACAGUAACAACGGAACCGUUAAUGGCCAGGUUAGAAGGAAGGAAGAGGAAUCAAUCUUACGAUUGCAUCCAGAUUUUUAUCUGAUAAAUUCAGGUGAGUGAUUUUUCGCAGGUGCU